UACGGAGGGUGCGAGCGUUAAUCGGAAUUACUGGGCGUAAAGCGCACGNAGGCGGUUUGUUAAGNUAGAUGUGAAAGCCCCGGGCUCAACCNGGGAUGGUCAUUUAGAACUGGCAGACUAGAGUCUUGGNGAGGGGAGUGGAAUUCCAGGUGUAGCGGUGAAAUGCGUAGAUAUCUGGAGGAACAUCAGUGGCGAAGGCGNCUCCCUGGCCAAAGACUGACGCUCAUGUGCGAAAGUGUGGGUAGCGAACAGG
rnacentral:rRNA from 1 species